rnacentral:rRNA from 1 species
ACAGUACCGAUGAAGGACGUUUGAGGAUGCGAUAAGCCUCGGGGAGCCUCCAACAUGGCUUCGAUCCGAGGAUUUCCGAAUGGGGCAACCCGCCGGCCGUCAUGGGCCGGCACGGAACCUUGUUGUUCCGGGGGUACGCAGGGAAGUGAAACAUCUCAGUACCUGCAGGAAGGGAUACUCCGUGAGUAGUGGCGAGCGAAAGCGGAUCAGACCAAACCAUGGGCGCGUGAUACCCGUCGGGGGUUGCGUUCGUGGUGUUGCGGGAGCGUGUGUCCCGGUUCCGACGGACCGGGCGGGAGUCAUAAAACGGCUUGCCAGGGGAACAGGCUUGAAGGCCUGGCCGCAGAGGGUGCCAGCCCCGUACCUGGAAGCUUGCCGUCUUCCGAUCAUGUGUCCCAAGUAGCGCGGGCCUCGUGGAAUCCCGUGUGAAUCGGCCCCGACCGUGGGGUAAGUCUAAGCAUACCUGUCUGACCGAUAGCGUACCAGUACCGUG